rnacentral:rRNA from 1 species
UAGGGAAUCUUCCACAAUGGGCGAAAGCCUGAUGGAGCAACGCCGCGUGUGUGAUGAAGGGUUUCGGCUCGUAAAACNCUGUUGUAAGAGAAGAAUGACAUUGAGAGUAACUGUUCAAUGUGUGACGGUAUCUUACCAGAAAGGAACGGCUAAAUACGUGCCAA